CCACGUCUCACCGUCCUCUCCAUC
rnacentral:siRNA from 1 species